UACGGGAGGCAGCAGGGGGAAUAUUGCACAAUGGGCGAAAGCCUGAUGCAGCUAUGCCGCGUGUAUGAAGAAGGCCUUAGGGUUGUAAAGUACUUUCAGCAGGGAGGAAGAAUAAAACUAAUAAUUUUAUUUUGUGACGUUACCUGAAGAAGAAGCACCGGCUAACUCCGUGCCAGCAGCCGCGGUAAUACGGAGGGUGCAAGCGUUAAUCAGAAUUACUGGGCGUAAAGAGCGCGUAGGUGGUUUUUUUAAGUCAGAUGUGAAAUCCCUAGGCUUAACCUGGAACUGCAUUUUGAAACUGAAAACUAGAGUAUCGUAGAGGGAGGUAGAAUUCUAGGUGUAGCGGUGAAAUGCGUAGAUAUCUGGAGGAAUACCUGUGGCGAAAGCGGCCUCUAAACGAAUACUGACACUGAGGUGCGAAAGCGUGGGGAGCAAACAGGGAUUAGAU
rnacentral:rRNA from 1 species